rnacentral:rRNA from 1 species
UACGGAGGAUGCAAGCGUUAUCCGGAAUGAUUGGGCGUAAAGCGUCCGCAGGUGGCUGUGUAAGUCUGCUGUCAAAGAGCAAAGCUCAACUUUGUAAAGGCAGUGGAAACUACACGGCUAGAGUGCGUUCGGGGCAGAGGGAAUUCCUGGUGUAGCGGUGAAAUGCGUAGAGAUCAGGAAGAACAACGGUGGCGAAGGCGCUCUGCUAGGCCGCAACUGACACUGAGGGACGAAAGCUAGGGGAGCGAAUGGG